rnacentral:rRNA from 1 species
AGCGAACGCUGGCGGCAUGCCUAACACAUGCAAGUCGAACGAGACCUUCGGGUCUAGUGGCGCACGGGUGCGUAACGCGUGGGAACCUGCCCUUAGGUUCGGAAUAACUCCCCGAAAGGGGUGCUAAUACCGGAUAAUGUCUUCGGACCAAAGAUUUAUCGCCUUUGGAUGGGCCCGCGUUGGAUUAGCUAGUUGGUAGGGUAAAAGCCUACCAAGGCGACGAUCCAUAGCUGGUCUGAGAGGAUGAUCAGCCACACUGGGACUGAGACACGGCCCAGACUCCUACGGGAGGCAGCAGUGGGGAAUAUUGGACAGUGGGCGAAAGCCUGAUCCAGCAAUGCCGCGUGAGUGAUGAAGGCCUGAGGGUUGUAAAGCUCUUUUACCCGGGAUGAUAAUGACAGUACCGGGAGAAUAAGCUCCGGCUAACUCCGUG